CCACGUUGACCACUAAGGAUGGGAGGAAAAUGUUCUGCUACUAUUUGAGGCCGACGCUUUUGCCAAAAUGUUCAUAACGAAAAUAACGGUUCAUACCAGUCAGGUCAUUUCAAUGGUAGUUCCCUCUGCCCUGAAAAAUUAGAAGAGAAGUGUACUAUCCUCCCUGUCUUGUGAGUUGCUGACUGUCAAGAAUGGAAAGAAUUUGAAAAAGCAGCUGAGAAAAUCAUCCCUUACCCCAUUUUCAGGUAAAAUCACACCAGUUUUCCUUGGGAGAUGAACUCUCCAUCACUGAAUGAAUACUUGAUGACCUACCCUACUGAAUUAAAGGUGUGGAAAGUAACAUGAGCCAGACCAGUUUUACAGAUGGAAACACUGAAUCUCCAAAAGGUGGUGAAAGCAGCCCACGGUCCCACCUUAGGAGGUUAGAAGGAGGCACACACCUGCCUGCCCCCGGAAUGGACACUCUCCGUCGCACCCAGACACUGCCUCCACCGACGCGGAACACAUACAGGACCCGCAGUAGUUUCGGUUACAUAUAAGGUAGGUUAUAAAAACGUCAUUUAGUGCCCUGUAAUAUGCAUUCUAUAGCCUUGUGAUGGGGAAUGAAUGUGCAGAGCCAAGGAAGUCGUGUACAUUUUGAAAUGAUCUUCCUGGGAAGAAGCACACCGUUUGUCAAUAUCAAAUCUUAUCUCGUUUGAAGUUCCCAGACUCUCUGGAGCUCUAAUAAGAAGUAGCUUGCUAAUCUUUGAAAUACAAAUGCUGAUCAG